GUCAAAACACAAUUUUAUAGGGUUAAUUUUACAAACGGUCACUAAAGUUUAAAACUUUCAGUAACGGUCACUUAAGUUUUCAGGCGCUUUCAAAAAUGGUCACUGAAGUUUAAAAACUUUCAAAAAUGGUCACUGAAAUUUCAGUAUUUUGGGGCUACUUUUGCUGUAAUUUUUCGGCCACUUCUGAUCACCGAUACCAUCAAAUUUUGAUAUUGUUGGAAAGACCACAAUGUCCUCUUCAAUUAUCA
rnacentral:lncRNA from 1 species